rnacentral:rRNA from 1 species
CAGCCGCCACGGGAAUACGUAGGUGGCAAGCGUUGUCCGGAAUUAUUGGGCGUAAAGGGCUCGCAGGCGGUUUCUUAAGUCUGAUGUGAAAGCCCCCGGCUCAACCGGGGAGGGUCAUUGGAAACUGGGAAACUUGAGUGCAGAAGAGGAGAGUGGAAUUCCACGUGUAGCGGUGAAAUGCGUAGAGAUGUGGAGGAACACCAGUGGCGAAGGCGACUCUCUGGUCUGUAACUGACGCUGAGGAGCGAAAGCGUGGGGAGCGAACAGGAUUAGAUACCCCUGUAGUCCCUGUCUCUUAUAC